UCUAUUUGAGCACAAGCAUGUUGUACUUUAGGGUUUGAGUUAUAGAACAAAAACAAACAAAAAUCAAAUUAUUCAGAUUAUUCCUCCAUAAACUCUACUCCUAAUUAAUAGGUUGUUAAUUCUUCCUCUUAGACUGCAAGCACACCAAGGGGAGUUUCUGGACAGCUAGAGGACAUCUGAGGAGCACGGCUAAGCCUCAAACCCUCCUUAGGACUACUGUGAACCCCUAUACUUCUGCAGCUACAGUUCCCAAAUUUCUGGGCUCCAUCCCAACAAAAUGUCUAGAAAAAUUUGCUCUAUUUUUGAUCCUCGUUUUUUUUUUGUUUUGUUUUUUUUUUUUUUUUCCUCAUUUCAGAACAGUGAUGGCUUUUCCAGGUAAAGCAUCUUGUUACCUUAUAAGUUUCAUUAAAUAGAUGGCCUUUGAACUAGACCUUGCAGAAUGGGUAAAAUUUAUUUUGGAAAAGAAGUGAAAGAGGGCUAUCAGAGAGUGUUUUCAUGAAUGUAUAAGCCUGGAAUCUGGAUGUCUUUGAUAAGGAGCGAUAAAAGGGUACAUUUGGGUGUGGAUUAAUUCACUUACUCAGUAUAUACAUAUAUAUAGAAACCACAAUUUGAUACAGGAAAUAUAGCAAAGGAUUAGACCUGGUCCAGCUCUCAUGAUGUUCAGAGACAGUGAUGGUUCCGGGGGCAGAGAGACGCAGUGGACAUCAAGAGGUGGGCUAAUUCAUUAUUUGAAGAAUCUUCAAUGACACACAAAGGAGUUUGAAUUUUAUCCCAUCACUACUUAUAACAGCACUUUUUUUGACACUAAUCACAUGCUGGGCAGUAUUCACUAUUUAUUAUUGUAACAACCUUAUGGUAUAGAGAGAUAUUUUACUGACAGGGAGACUGAAGCAUGGAGUAGGUACCUAACUUGGCUAAGGACUCAGAGCUAAUAAGAGGUAGAGUCAGGAUUGAGUCCAGGUAUUUUGGCUUCAGAGUCUAUAGUCUUAUCAUUUGUAAAUAUAUAAUAUGUGGCUAAAGCGAAGCUUUUUUAUAUGAAAAAAGUAAAACAAGGUUAAUGAUGUUGGGAAAAAUCAUUGGAAGAUGCAGCAGUGUGUAUCAGAGCCUGGACUAGACUCCACAAGGCUUUAGGUCCAUUGCUGCUUCUGCUCCACAUAGAGUGUGCACUAGUGUGCAAAAACUUUGUGGAUGCACUUGGAUAAAUUAAGAGAAAUAUGUUUACACUACAAGAGGUGGUAAUGCUGCAGUCCUCUUUUUUUUUUUUUUUUUUUUCUUUCUGCUUUUUAGGACCAAACCCAUGGCAUAUGGAAGUUUUCAGGCUAGGGAUUGAGUCGGAGCUGUAGAUGCCAGCGUACGCCACACCCAUCACCAGAUCCGAGCCAUGUGUUUGACCUACACCACAGCUCACAACAAUGCCAGAUCCUUAACCCACUGAGCAGAGCCAGGUUCAAAACUUGGAUUCAUUUCUGCAGUGCCACAAGGCUUGCUGCAUUCUUUUGUGCUGGUGAGACUAAUAGUGAGCAGUGAGAGGGUUCAGUUGUGUCUGUCUUCCUCUCCGAAUACAUCAGCUGGGGCCCAAAGUUAACAUAUCCAAAGGUAGAAAUGGUUUGUUUUUGUUGUUCCAAGCAAGGUCAAACUUGCAGAAAGGUGCGUUUGGUUGGGUGAGGAUGACCCAGCUAUCUCGAUGUCCUUUUACUAAUCACGGCAUACGAGGUGGUAGAGUCACAAAAUACCUCAUCGUCAGCUGCCUUAGAGACUAGCUUGACCUCCCCCAGGACUCGAUCUACUGUGAAAUGCAUUCAGGCACAGGGAAUAUCAGUGCAAAAACCCCAGGAUUUAUUCCUCACUAAAAGGUGGCUUGGAGGGAUGUCACACGUAGAAAGUGGACUGAUUCAUUUCCACUCCCAGCAUUGUUUCAAUCGAGCUUGGCACAAAGAUGAUCAAUGCUGACUCAGAGCUAUGUCCAGAUGGAGAGAGAGCCUUCUAAACUAUCACAUCCAACCCAGUCCUGGUCUACCACUCCCCCUCGAGUCUCUAGAAUCCUCACUGUCCUAUCUAUAGGGUGCACCCAUUCCAGAGGAUAAGACUCCACUCAUAUUUGGUUCUUUGCCUUCCCAGCAGGACCCCAAAACCCCCUCACCCUUUCGUCUAUGCAGACUGGCACAGAAGAAAUGAUUCUGAAAAAUAAACUAGCUAAUCAUUAGAUGAAAGCAAGCUAUUCUCUUUAUUGGUGAUGCAUCCUGCUUUGAAGGACCUGGUGCGUGAGUUGUGGUGGAGACACUGCUUGGCAUUGACCCAUUUCCCAAAUUAGAAAGACUUAACUCUUCAUGCACAGGUAUUGCUAGACCCCUACAAAGCUUGGAUCCUGGGGAGAGAACUGUAUGAUAUAGGAUGGAAAGGAACAGAAGAGAACGCAGACUCUUCCAAAGGGAAAAGGAGUUGUGCCGAGUAUGUACAGGUUGUUACUUCCCAGAUUACUCCAGGAUUAGUCCUGCAUUUCUCUGCAAGAGAGUGAGGAAUGGAACAGAGAGGCACUAGGAGUGUUUCCCUAAUUGAAUUCCCUCCACAAGGAAAGAACCAUGAGGAAGAGGGGAAGAGUAGUUCCCUUUCGCCAGUGUUAAGAGCACAUUUUGUGCUCUUAUUUAUUUGUUUAUUUUUCUUUUUAGGGCUGCACCUGUGGCAUAUGGAGGUUACCAGGUUAGGGGUUGAAUUAGGAGCCUUAGCUGUUGGCCUACCACACCACAGCCACAGCAAUGCGGGAUCCGAGCCGCAUCUGUGACCUACACCACAGCUCACAGCAACGCCAGAUCCUUAACCCACCGAGUGAGGCCAGGGAUCAAACCCGCAUCCUCAUGGAACCUAGUUGGGUUUUCUAACUGCUGAGCCACAAAGGGAACUCCACAUUUUGUGCUCUUAACACUGUGUGUUCCCUGCCCAGGAAAAGAGUAAAUACUUGUCAAGCCUGUUCUUUGCUGACCCGUGUGGGCCCCUCCCACAAGGAUGACACUGCACCUUGGGUCCCAUGAGCAGGUCUGAAUUCCCCCAACACCCCCUGCUCAAAGACCCUAAAAUGGGUCAGAAGGGAAUAUUGUUUAUAUCAACAAAAAGAAUGAGCAUUUCAUCUCUGGUUGAUUUUCCAGUCUACAUUUUUUUCCCAACAAUGUUGCCCAUCAUAAUCAGUUAUGUGAUCUCUUUUGAGCUUGACUGAUAACAUAAUUAUUCUCCAGCAACAAAAUGUCAAUAAAGGGAUGGCCCAAAUGUGAACAUAAACACUCUGCUACUAUGCCAUUACUGGGGAAAUAUUAAAAUAGGGAGAUGAAAUUAGUUUAAAGGUAAAGUCCAAAUAUGUUACAUUUCCACAGAAUUAAGGUCCAAAAUCAAUUUUCCUUAGGCCUGUGAUUUAAAAUUCCAAAGUUUAUAAAGUACUUCUCAUUUUUUUUUUCAGUCCUUUCAGUCUCUGUUGAAAGUUUUCAGAGAUAGUAUUCUUUUAGGACCUGAAGAUUGUGUUUCUUUCUCGUUGGAAGAAAUGUGUUUCCUCUACCAGGACCUAAGAAUUGUAUUUGUUCUGAGCCUCUGAUGUCAUCACUGUUUUACAGAUUCCCAGGAGUUAUUAUGAAAAACAAGAUUAUCACAACUCUGGCACCACAUCCCAGCAUUGGAGAAACAAAGCAAUCCUUGCUCCUAAAAGAGUUACUUCAGACAAAAUUAUUUUCAGCCAGUCUUUUGUGUUGCCAAGACUGUCACAGGAACUUAUGAUUGUCCGAAAAGGACAUGGCUGUCUUGGUUGGGGUCUUCCUGGGAUACCAGGAAGUUUAUGUCCAUUUUCUGAUACUUAAGAAGUGGAAUUAAAACCCAUUUGGGAAACUCUCAGCAAGAGGUUAAUUUUGGCACUUAUUGCAUCAAUGAAGCCCACUUAUGAAUCCUACACAGUAGGUCCGAAGAAUGCUUGCCUGUUUUCCCACGUCUGCAUUGAGCCCCAUGGUUCAGGCAGCUGGUGGUUAAUUGAAUCACAGAAUCUACAAAUUAACAUGGAAUCUACCACUUGCUCUUAUGAGAAGCAUUUUCAGUCCUGCAACACUAAGUCUGUUUCUUCUUCAUUUAUCUUUGGAAGUUUUAAGACUUAAAAAAAUUGUACUUAGAAUUUCCUCCCAUAUAGGUAAUUAAAUGAUACAGAACAAGUUUGACACCAGCUGGUGAUGAGAAUUGGAAGAGGUGAGUGGCUUGAUGCCUGACUCUGUGGAGAAGCCUGUGCUAGUUCUAGCCUUGAAAUUUCCCUCCCUGGCCUUGAAUCUUUUUAAAAAUUAUUAUUAUUAAAGUAUAGUUGAUGUACAAUGUUGUGCCAAUUUAUGCUGCACAGAAAAGUGACCCAGUCAUAUAUGUAUGUACAAAUAUAUACAUACAUAUAUAUUCUUUUUCUCAUGCUGCAUCUUGCAUCAUGUUCUAUCCCAAGAUAUUGCACAUCGUACCCUGUGCUAUAGAGUAGGACUUCCUUGCUUAUCCAUUCCAAAUGUAAUAAUGUGCCUCUACUAACCCCAAACUCCCCAUCCAUCCCACUCCCUCUCCCACCAACCUUGGCAACCACAAGUCUGUUCUCCAUGUCUGUGAAUCCUUUUUGAAACUAGGGGCAGUCAAUGCAGUCUCCUACCUAGAGCUAAUGCUAACAAUUUAAUGCUAGAAGUUCUGUUGUGCUCCGUAAAAAUUCACAAUUCACUCUUUUAUCAAAUGAAGGACAGCACAUAUCCUUCAGAGACUGAUGUUGGAAAGUUCUGCAGGGACAAUCAGUUGGCCCCAAUCAAAUUCUUUUCCUCUGCUUCCCCUUUGUACCAAAACCUCUGAGAAGAGCCCCUCUCUCAGUCUCUGCUCUUCACACACAUGAACUAAGUACAGGGAAAAGUUGAGGUGCUGUAAGCUGCCUCCUGAGGAAGUCCACACAUGGUUGGGGUUUGAGAAGAGCCCUGAACAUUCUGGUCAUUGCCAUCCUAAGUAGCAAUAACCUGCUAAGGUCAACAUACUGCAAAGAUUCAACACCGCAUACCCAAGCCACACAUUCAUAAAGCCAAUCUUUCAACUGAAAAAUCAGCUUUUGUGCAAUGCUAGGCUGCAAAUC
rnacentral:lncRNA from 1 species